GUGAUGAAGAUGGCGAGGGAGUGAUUAUCGCCGGUGAGAGACAAAGAGAGAGUAAUUGAGAGAGAGAGAGAGAUGUUGCUUUGGAGGGAAGGUUCUGAUAAAAAAGAUGGAGAUUUAGAGAGGGAAGAAAUGAGAAAGAGAAAAGGUUUUGGGGUUGAUGCAUGAAAAAAAUUAAGAGAGAGAGAGAGUGGUCUGAUAAAAAACAAAAAAUGUUGGCACCAAUGUGAGCCGUUGAUGUGAUCCAAAGUUAGAAAAUGGGUGGUUGUGAAGGUUGAAGCAUUAUUAUUAUUAUUUUUUAAAAAUUUUGUAGUGGCAUAUAAAUGGUGUGGUGAAUUAUAUAUAUUUUAAAAUUUUAAUUUUUUUUUAUAUUUUGUCUAGUCGGUAGAAUGUAAAUAAUUUUUUAAUGUUAUUAUGAAAAAUACGAAGUUAUUAAAAUGAAGGCAAUAAAGUUACAAAUGAAGGCCAAUUUUAUUAAAAUAAAAAAGACAUUAAAUGGUGGGGUGAAUUAUAUUUGUAUUUUUUUUUCAAUUUUUUAAUUUUCUAUAUUUAUCUAGUCGGGUAGAAUGUAAAUAUAUAAUUUUUAUUAAAAAAAGUUUUAAAAAGGUCAUAAAAGACAAAAAAAAUAAACAAUAAAAAAUACUCAUAAACCCAUAUCCAAACAUCACCUACAAAAUUGGAGGGAAAGUUGGUUGAGGUUUGCUAAAAUGGCAUGUGACUAUUGGAGCACUAUUGUUAUAAUUUGGCAAUUUGGUACUGUAGAUUGCCAAAUUAUAACAAUGGCAAUGCUAUCAUAGCAUUUGCCAUUGGAGAUGCUCUUACAAAUCAAAAACUUUCACAAAUGCAAAAUGAGAAUGAUGCUACUGAACUAAGAAUUAAAAAUGCUCAUCCCAAAAAUGUACCAUUUCCUCCUAGUGUAUCAAUGGGUAGUAGUUAUGCUUAUAAAUCAAAGAAGAGGAAAACAUGUGGGAGUGGGAGUGGGAGUGGGAGUGGGAGUGGGACUGCUAUGUUAGCUCUUAUUCAUUUGCUGCAAAUCAUAAUAUUUUUGGAUAUUUGCCUCCCGGUUAUAAUUUGUUAAGAACCACAUUAUUUCAAAAGGAGAGGGCAAAAAUUGAUAGUUUGUUGCAAUCAAUUAGGGGCACAGGAAAGGAAAAAAGGGGUGAUCAUUGUUAGUGAUGGUUGGAGUGAUUCUCAACGGAGGCCUUUGAUUACUUUUAUGGGAGUGAGUGAAAGAGGGCCUAUGUUCAUCAAGGCAGUUGAUUGUUUUGGAGAAACUAAGGCAAAUAUUUCAUUGCAAAUUUGAUGAAAUCAGUGAAUAAUGAGGUUGGGGCCAGUAAUGUGGUUCAAGUCAUCACGGAUAAUGCUCCUAAUUGUAAGGCAACUAGACAACUCAUUGAAGUUCAAUUCCCUUAUAUUCUAUGGAUUCCUUGUGUGGUGCACAUUAAAUCUAGCUUUGAAAAAUAUUUGUGCUGCAAAUAAUAUUGAGAGGAAUGAAGUCACAUAUGAAGAGUAUAGUUGGAUUAGUGAUAUUGCCAGAGAUGGUUUGAUGAUUAAGAAUUUUAUCUCUAAUCACUCAAUGUGAUUGGCUAUAUAUAACGAAUUUGUGCUGUUGAAGUUGGUUUCAAUUGCUAAAACAUGAUUUGCCUCCACAAUUGUUAUGCUCAAGAGGUUGAAGUUUAUAAAAUGUGGUCUUCAAGCAAUGGUGAUUAGUGACAAGUGGAAUUGUUAUACAGAGGAUGAUGUUGGGAAGACAAAAUUUGUAAAAGAAAAUAUUUUGGAUGAUGUGUGGUGGGACUACAUUGAUUAUAUUAUUUCCUUCACGGAUCUUAUAUAUGACAGGGUUAGGGCUUGUGAUACGGACAAGCCUUGUCUUCACUAGGUAUAUGAUAUGUGGGACACAAUGAUAGAGAAAGUGAAGAUGACAAUAUAUAGGCAUGAAGGGAAAAGAGUAGAAUAUAAAUCUACAUUUUACAAUGUGGUGCAUCAAAUUCUCAUGGAUCGUUGGAAUAAGAAUAAUACUCCUCUCUAUUGUAUCACACAUUCAUUGAAUCCAAAGUACUAUAGUGAUGAGUGGCUCCAUAAUGAUCAAAAUAGAGUUCCUUCACAUGGGGAUGAAGAGGUGACACGUGAGAGGAACAAGUGUUUUAAGAGGUAUUUUGAAGAUAUCACGUAGCAAACCAUGGUGAUAAUAGAGUUUGAAAAAUUUUCGGGUUAUGUUGAAGCAUUUUUCAAAUAUGAUUCCAUUCAUAGUAGGUGGCACAUGGAUUCUUAUACUUGGUGGUGUGCAUAUGGUGCAUAUGCACCAACUCUUCAAAAAGUAGCUUUGAGACUAUUUGUGCAACCUGCCUCUUCAUCUUGUUGUGAGACAAAUUGGAGUACUUACUCCUUUAUUCACUAUAUGCUCCCUCAAUGAGCGGAGGACUUGGUGUUCAUUCAUAGCAAUCUUCGUCCUUUAUCAAGGAGGAGCUCCCAAUACUUGCAAGGAGAGACAAAAAUGUGGGACAUUGCAAGAGAUAACUUUGACUCACUUGAUGAUAUUGAAAUGCUUGGGAUAGCUAACCUCUCACCUAAUGAACCGACUAUAGAGGUGGCCCUAUUUACAGAUGAAGGAGAAGAUGGAGGCGAUGGUGAAGAUGUUGUACUAGUUUCCUCUACUUAGGUUUACAUUUUCUGAUGUUUAUGGAUUUUGUAAUAGGUUGUUGGUACAUUGGAUAAUUUUACAUUUUGUGCUUUGGUUUUCAUGCAUUUUGUAACAAAUUAUGGUUGGUAGUUUGGAAUGACAUGUUAUGUAUUGAUGGAAUGCAA